rnacentral:rRNA from 1 species
CGGGGUGCAGCAGGCGCGAAACCUUAGCAAUGUGCGAAAGCACGACUGGGUCAGUCCGAGUGAUUCCUGAUAAAGGAGUCUUUUGCUUGUCCUAAAAGCACAGGUGAAUAAGGGGUGGGCAAGUCUGGUGUCAGCCGCCGCGGUAAUACCAGCACCUCGAGUGGUCAGGACGUUUAUUGGGCCUAAAGCAUCCGUAGCCGGCUCUGCAAGUCUUCGGUUAAAUCCACCUGCUCAACAGAUGGGCCGCUGGAGAUACUACAGAGCUAGGGAGUGGGAGAGGCAGACGGUAUUCAGUGGGUAGGGGUAAAAUCCUCUGAUCCAUUGAGGACCACCAGUGGCGAAGGCGGUCUGCCAGAACACGUUCGACGGUGAGGGAUGAAAGCUGGGGGAGCAAACCGGAUUAGAUACCCGGGUAGUCCCAGCUGUAAACGAUGCAAACUCGGUGAUGCAUUGGCUUAUGGCCAAUGCAGUGCCGCAGGGAAGCCGUUAAGUUUGCCGCCUGGGAAGUACGGACGCAAGUCUGAAACUUAAAGGAAUUGGCGGGGGAGCAC